UACGUAGGGUGCAAGCGUUAAUCGGAAUUACUGGGCGUAAAGCGUGCGCAGGCGGUUAUGUAAGACAGUUGUGAAAUCCCCGGGCUCAACCUGGGAAUUGCAUCUGUGACUGCAUAGCUAGAGUACGGUAGAGGGGGAUGGAAUUCCGCGUGUAGCAGUGAAAUGCGUAGAUAUGCGGAGGAACACCGAUGGCGAAGGCAAUCCCCUGGACCUGUACUGACGCCCAUGCACGAAAGCGUGGGGAGCGAACAGG
rnacentral:rRNA from 1 species